GUCCCUGGACCGCCUUGGACGAUCAGCUUUGCCCUCUCACGGCGAAAACAGGGGUUCGAUUCCCCUUGGGAGC
rnacentral:tRNA from 1 species